UACCGGCACCCCGAGUGGUCGGGACGAUUAUUGGGCCUAAAGCAUCCGUAGCCGGUCAUGCAAGUCCUCCGUUAAAUCCACCUGCUUAACAGAUGGCUGCGGAGGAUACUACAAGGCUAGGAGGCGGAAGAGGCAAGCGGUACUCAGUGGGUAGGGGUAAAAUCCUCUGAUCCAUUGAAGACCACCAGUGGCGAAGGCGGCUUGCCAAUACGCGCUCGACGGUGAGGGAUGAAAGCUGGGGGAGCAAACCGG
rnacentral:rRNA from 1 species